rnacentral:rRNA from 1 species
UACGUAGGGGGCAAGCGUUGUCCGGAUUUAUUGGGCGUAAAGAGCGUGUAGGCGGCCAUACAGGUCAGCUGUGAAAACUCGAGGCUCAACCUCGAGACGUCGGUUGAAACCGUACGUGUCAGAGUCCGGAAGAGGAGAGUGGAAUUCCCGGUGUAGCGGUGAAAUGCGCAGAUAUCGGGAAGAACACCCGUGGCGAAGGCGGCUCUCUGGGACGGUACUGACGCUGAGACGCGAAAGCGUGGGGAGCGAACAGG